CUGCGUUUUUUUUUUCCUCUGGCGCCCUCUCGUGGGAGGCGGGAGAUCAAUCCCUAACGUCGCUCGUCCCGGAAACGGGGAAAGAUGAAGGACACUGAGACCAUGACCCAGCUGAAGGCAGAUUCCCAACAACUGAGCCACCCAGGCGCCCCAAGCAUGGCACAUGCUUACUUCAUUCCUCCCAGUGUGGACAUCAUUGUCCUGAAAGACACCUGUGCAGCUGCCUUAGCCCAGAGCCUGGCCCAGUGUCAGGACCUGACAAAUCAUCACUGUUGGUGUUACAACGGCCCCGAUAACUGACAAUUUUCCACGUAGCGCCUGCCUCUGGAAGUGCUGGGUUCGGCUCCCCCUCUCGGAAAGGUAGGUGCUGGGAAACUGUUACUUAUUUGCACACCUGGGUUUGUGAUCGAUUCCUAGCCAUUGUCCGUUUCCCCGCUCAAGCUGCACCCUUGUUGGUGGAGUACCCUCUGCUGGAUGGUUCAGGAGGAAAUCCUGAUGUGUCUAAACCAACAGCAGUGGACCCACGCCCUUGUGUGGGAGGGGGCGUGCGGCCCAGUUCUGCCCAAAGACGCUUCAGGGGAGGUCUGCUGGGUAUGGGAGGAGGUUCCUGGGCGUUGUCCUCUCUGGAGGAGACCCAGGAUGCUGCUGCAGCCAUAUUCCCACCAGGAGGAAGGCCCCUGACACA